GUUAUCAUAUAAUAUAUCAGAAGAAUGACUACUUAUGACAGUCACUUUUUUGAAAAUAAUACUACUUUCAGUUACAUAAUGGUAAUUAUACAAUUUUCACUAUCCAGUACUUUGUGUAAAACCAGUCACAAUAAACAAGAUUUUUAGAGGCAAGAAGAUGUAUCGAAGUACAUAAUUGUGAAAAGCUUACAGGCUAUUAUGAAGCUGUAUCUUAAAAAUGCCUUUGGGAAAUUAAAUAGUUAAUCAGUUUUCUCAGCUUUAAAAAUAUGAUUUGAAUAGAAAUUUACAUUUUAAUAUAAGAAAUGAAAACACUGGUUAAAUCCUGAUUAAUCAUUUUUUAAAGCUUUUAAUGGCAUGUACAUGAGUGCAUAUAAAAAAAAAGAUACCAAGCCAGAAAUUACUUUUGAAAGAGGUGGAGCAUCUCAUAGAUUCUCAAGUCCACAUAGGAGCUGGAACACAAUGACUAGAAAAUGGCUAGUUUUUUUUUAUUAAUUGAGGGAAAGUAUAUCAAAGUUAGGAAUAAGACUUUAAUGAGAAGAGUCUUGCUACAGACAGAUUGAUUGACUUCCUAGCAAGACACACCCAUCUUGAGAUGCUAGGUGACUAUGUGUCUCCAAUGAGUUAUUCCAUCUCCAAUGCAGGGCUGAACAUAGGUAAGUGGGAUAUCAUAUGUAUUGGGAAGUCUCAAACAAGCAGAAUUGCCACUAAGAGUUCCAAUAUACCAGGCUUUGCUGCAUAAUGGCUUCCAUAUUGUUGAUAUUCUUGUUUCACACAUAUUUCAGAGAUGUCUUCCAGCAUCUCUACUUGACAUGCACUGUCUCAUCUUCCGUAGCAACAGGACUCCGAGAUGAAAUCCAAGGAUACUUGUGCAUUUGUGGUUUGUGGUAGGAUGAGAUUUGUUCUUAUACAUAUCAGGAUAAUUUUUUCCAGUGUCAGACCCAGAGAGUUCCUGGAUCCUACACAUGUUCCCAGUAAACUUAAUACUGUUGUUCUUAGGUUUUUCUGAGGUCCUAGUCCUAGUCAUCUGUGAAUCCUAAGGAAUAUUCACCCAACAAAUUCAAAGUGUCUUAUGACUCAUUUCAG
rnacentral:lncRNA from 1 species